rnacentral:lncRNA from 1 species
GGAAGUCGGCUGCCGCGACCACUCGCUGGUAAGACCACCGUGCUAUCAUCUCCUGACAGCCCCUUGGAGGCCCGGCCCGCUCCCUCGCCCCGAAGCCUGGCGGGUCUGUCACGCGAGGGCCGAACCCGACUCGGCCGCUCCGAUGCCCACCCAUGACGACCAUCGGGAGACCGCAACCGACAGCACUCGCUUCGGAGAGGGUCUACGGCGAUCACAAGAAACAAGGGAACACACGGCCCGACCGCAGCCAGCUCACCCUGCAGGAGGCGUAUCUGCCGCCGCAGCUGCUCCUUUUCCUCCAUCUCCGGAGUCCGCGACGCCUAGCCAGACCCCCUCGACGUCAUCGCCGCGCGACUGGUCCCCGCAGGCGGGGAGGAGAGAACGCCGAACUUCACUAUGCGUGGACACGGGGUUGGAAGGCACCGUCGCCCCGGCAACCCUGGAAGGACGCAUGCGCAGAACGAGAAAAAUCCGUCAUCUUGAAGCGCCCGGAAGUGGCCCGCAAUCUGGCUUCUGCACCAAUUCCUGCGCAUCAUUUCCACCGCUGGGGGUUCCUCGGAAGACUUGGAGGAGAUAGGUUGCUAACAGUUUCCCCUAGACCCAGGAAUUCCUUUUAUCAAUUUAUUUGUUUGAGACAGGAUGUAUUUCUGGCUGGAGAGAAACAUAACUGGGGAACUCGCUAUGUAGACUAGGCUGGCCUCGAACUUACGGAAGUUCUCUUUCCUCUGCCUCCGGACCUGGAAUCAAAGGGAUGCCAUUUUAACGCCUUUGCUGCCGCAGCAGCACGAGAACAGCGAAAAGGAAUCGGAGGCAAUUUUUUUUUUCGGAUGAUUACAGGUGUUAAGAAAAUUCUUGAGGGCAUUUAGUAGGAAAGGCUGCAACCUCUAGAAAAUAC